UACGGAGGGUGCAAGCGUUGUCCGGAUUUAUUGGGUUUAAAGGGUGCGUAGGCGGCCGAUUAAGUCCGGGGUGAAAGCCCGUUGCUAAACAACGGAACUGCCCUGGAAACUGGUGGGCUUGAGUACAGACGAGGGCGGCGGAAUGGGUGCUGUAGCGGUGAAAUGCAUAGAUAGCAUCCAGAACCCCGAUUGCGAAGGCAGCUGCCUAGGCUGUAACUGACGCUGAGGCACGAAAGCGUGGGGAGCGAACAGG
rnacentral:rRNA from 1 species